UAAUUAAAUUGGUCUAACCCAGCAUUUGGCCCGUUAGAAACUCGUGCUUAGGUUUGGUGGUCGUCGACUUCUUCUUCCAGAAGCGACCUCGCCGAUGUUACUGAGAAAACCAAACCGUCGAUCUGAGUUCUGUAACGCCCGAUCCAUACACGCAAUUCAAUUCCGAUGGCGUCUACGUACACGUUACUUGUCGACCUGAGAGCCGGGCGAUGCUCUAACACGGCGGAGGUCCGUCUGUUGCGGUUUGCGAGAAACAUCAACAAAGGCGGGGAGCUUAUGAGCGUUGAUAUGUUGCUCAUCGAUGAAAACAUAAGCACAAUUGUCUUAUACUAAGCCUCUAACAAUAUGCAAUUUUUAUCGAAUUAUGAUUUGAGUUUUUUUUUCUUCUCUCAUCUGUUUCUGCGCUUUGCCAGCUCAGGUUCAGAAAACGUCUCACUGAAGGCUCUGUCUAAAUACAUGAUUCUUGAUUUCUCAAACCCAGCGAAGUAUUAGGUUUCUUCAUACUCUCACCUUCGACCUCCGUAGAUUACAGUCGAGUGUUCCACGAAACUAGAGCGCCGAUCAACUCCCGUAACAUCUCCACCUUCCAUUAAACGUACUUAAAUACGUUUACUGGAACACUAUUAAAGAGCAUUCUCAUCCAGACAAACCAUGUCGUUUCACCUGUUAUAUGUCCAAGCACGUGUUCCUGCUCUUCCAUUGAAAGAUGAGGGGUUUGUUUAUCUGAUACUGAUCCUAACGCCAUGUACUUUAAUGGUUGGCCUGAAUCAGGUAGAUUCCUGUCAUUGCUUAGGAAUCAAAGGCUUCCAAGCUCCAGAGAACUUUAACGGACGAGAUUAUGAGGCACUAAACGGCACAACCGAGAAUCUUCUUCCCUUGAGUCUAGAAAGACUUUCUCUCAGGAUUGCACAAGUAAAGGCGUCUUAUUAAGUCUAGAGAGCAAAAGUUUGAUCGCAGUCCCAAAUCCUGAUACAUGUUAAUAUAUAUGUCACACUACCUGAUACAGUGGGUAGAUAGAUGAUGAGAUGUAGAUGUGUGUGCUUUUUAAUUUUCCAGGAAUUGUAUGAGUCAAGGUUCCAGAAAACGGAGGAUAAAAAGCAAUAUCUUGAAACAAUUGUUUCAUGCGAGAAGCAAAUAUCAAAUUUGUAGAAAACAUAGACGGCAACAACAUUGAAAACGGGUGAAAAAUUAGAUUCUUCUUCACACUCACCCACUUGAUUCUUAACACUACUAAACAAACCUCUUUGUUUUUGCUCAUCGUAUCAUUUGAAUUAGAAACAACAGAGUUCUUUAUAGGUAGCGUCAUAAGUGCAGUGGUAAGCCAAGCCAUGUUGGUGGUAGGAGAGAAAAAUCUACAUCUGAUACUUUUACAUUCCCAUGGAUGUCUAUGGUGACCAGAAAAGGAUCCAACAACUCAUCGUGGAAUUCCUGCUAAGUAUUGUUCACUAUGCACCCACUGAAGGCUCUGUGGAGCUCAAUCUACACCGGUUCUGAAACAAAUGGCUUAUACGUUCUCUGCUAUACACACAUGGAGUUUCAUGUAACCUUUUGAAGCCUUGAUAUUUUUUCUUUAUUUAGCAAACAACGAGCACUGGGAUUCAUUACCGCCAAAGAAAGUGCAAGACAUGUUCCACAAUAGCAUAUGGACGAGUCGUGAAGCAGAGACCUAUUUCUAUAGUAAAUGGUGUCUUUAAUAGUGUUACUACUUAAACUUCUAAAAAUUAACGACUCCCAGUAUAUAAAAUAUUUGUAAAUCCUUGGGAUUUUAAGAGUAUGGUCAAUGGUUUAGUAAAAAAAAGCUUCUUCAGCUUC